rnacentral:rRNA from 1 species
GACGAACGCUGGCGGCGUGCUUAACACAUGCAAGUCGAACGGUGAAGCGCCUUCCUUUUUGAUGGGUGUGGAUGAGUGGCGAACGGGUGAGUAACACGUGAGUAACCUGCCCCCUUCUUCUGGAUAACCGCAUGAAAGUGUGGCUAAUACGGGAUAUUCUGGGUCUGUCGCAUGAUGGGUCUGGGAAAGAUAUUGCUUCGGUGGGGGAUGGGCUCGCGGCCUAUCAGCUUGUUGGUGGGGUGAUGGCCUACCAAGGCGGUGACGGGUAGCCGGCCUGAGAGGGUGGACGGUCACACUGGGACUGAGACACGGCCCAGACUCCUACGGGAGGCAGCAGUGGGGAAUAUUGCACAAUGGGCGCAAGCCUGAUGCAGCGACGCCGCGUGAGGGAUGGAGGCCUUCGGGUUGUGAACCUCUUUCGCCAGUGAAGCAGGCCUGCCCCUGGUGG